UAGAGAAGCGGUGGCGGGGCGGGGUGGCGGCUGAGCCGGCCGGCGGCGGGGCCGGGGUCUCCGUGGGGGUCCGUGGGUGGGUGGGUGUGCGCGGCGGGGUCCCAUGGCGGCCGAGGGGAAGGUGACGGGGCAGAGCCAGGAGCAGUUCCUGCUGCUGGCCAAGGCGGCCCGCGGCGCCGCCCUCGCCAGCCUCAUCCACCAAGUGCUGGAGGCCCCGGGCAUCUACGUUUUCGGGGAGCUGCUGGACAUGCCCGCCGUCCGGGAGCUGGCCGACGGCGAGUUUUCCCCCGUCUUUCGCCUCCUGACCAUCUUCGCCUACGGUACCUACGCGGACUACUUGGCUGAAGCAGCAAACCUCCCUCCCUUGACAGAGGCUCAGAAGAACAAGCUGAGGCACCUGUCAGUCGUCACUCUGGCUGCCAAGAUCAAGUGCAUCCCCUACUCAGUGCUGCUGGAGCAGUUACAGCUGAAGAACGUCCGGCAACUGGAGGACCUCGUGAUUGAGGCUGUGUAUGCAGAUGUGCUGCGAGGGAGCUUGGAUCAGCGGAACCAGCGCCUGGAGGUGGAUUACAGCAUUGGGAGGGACAUCCGGAGGGAGGAGCUAAGCACCAUCACCCGCACAUUGCAGGAGUGGUGCCAGGGCUGCGAGGUUGUCUUGUCAGGCAUUGAAGAACAGGUUAGCCGAGCCAACCAACAUAAAGAGCAGCAGCUGGCACUUAAGCAGCAGAUAGAGAGCGAGGUGGCAAACCUGAAGAAGACCAUUAAAGUGACGACAGCAGCCGCUGCAGCAGCCACAUCCCAAGACCCGGAACAGCACCUAACAGAGCUCAGGGAGCCGGCCCCUGGCACCAACCAGCGCCAGGCGAGCAAGAAAACUUCCAAAGCCAAAGGGCUCCGGGGCAGUGCGAAGAUUUGGUCUAAAUCAAACUAGUUGGAUCUCCCUUCACAACUGGGAGGGUAGUCUCAGAGGAAGGUGCAGAGACUGAGGAAAAAGUUCACAUUUGUGUCAAUACUACGUGCCCAUGAUCCUGGACAAAACGGAAAGUGAUGUGGGGACUUGUCUGACAGUUAAAGGUUUCCCUGCAUCUGCUGCUGAAGCAUUUAGCACCGGCUUUGGGAUGUGGGAAGAUGGAUGAUCUGUUUGGUGGGAGCAGAAGUGAGAAGGAGGCUUCUGGUGACCGAGUGUGAUCUCUUACCGUGUUUCCAGCCUCUCUCCACCUCAUCCUGCCCACCUCCCCUUCCUCACCCCCCCCUUUUAAGCACGGCAGCUCCCUCCGUCUCACUCCAGAUGCUCUACUUACGCCUUAGCAAGAUGCCGAAGUACCACUGAACUGCAUUGCUUUGGUGCUUCAACUAGUCCCAUCUGAAGGUGACAGCUGUGGGAGAAGGAGUGAGAACGGAUUUUGUCUCCAUCAGAUGGAUAAGGACGACUUGGAACCACGCCCUGCGCAUCUUAAACGAACGCCGUUUGACUUUCAUGUUGGGAACAUCCAACCUUCUCUUUCUCCAUCCUGCUGGAAGAGCUGUCACAGACAUCUCACAAACGCAGCUCAGAGCAGUGCUGCACGCACAGACUCGGACACCUGCUUACAACUUCGAGCUUCUCACAGCUUGUCUAAAGACAGAGGAAGAGGACUAAAGCACUGGUUGUGCGCACAUACCUUUUUGUGGCCUCCGUGCAAUUCUCUGCAUGCUCUGCCAUUGGAUUAAUAACCUCCGUCAGCAAUCAUCCCUCAAGCCACUGACCAAAAAGCACCGUCGUGCCCGGAGCCUGGAGCAGCUGAGAAGGCUCCUUCAGCAGAACCCUGAGCAGCAGGUGAAGAUCAGCCUCCCAGGCCUGGAGGAGCCAAGGGAGGUUCCCUUCUUUGGGGAAAAAAACCCUCCUACUCUCUGAAGUCGGAGGUUAACACACCAUCUCAGCCUCGGGACUAGCAAAGGGGAGACCCUCCCAAUACACUUCCCAUACUUGUUUUUUGGUUUGGAAUCUCUAGAAUUCUCUCUUGGGCUCCUGUCUCUGCUUCCCAGCCUUAACACAAGGUCCUCCUCUAACUGAACCUCUUUUCCAUUUCCCUAGACCACCAGAGCCUUGUCACGCCUGGAGAAGGCCGAGAUCUUGGAAACAGCAGCUGGGUAGAUUGCACUCUGGCGCAGGGGGUGCAAGAGCACCCAACGCUCCCAGAUCUGUAAGCAGGAUGGCACCCAACAUGGUGCAGAGGCUGAAUCCAGAUAAAAGGAUUAGGGAUUAGAUCAAGAUGAGGAAUUCCAUGCCCAAAAAGGAAUGGAUCCUCACAUCUUAAAGGUCAAAGUUAAUCCCCACCACCACCAUGCCCCCAUCUCACUGUUUUCUUUCUCAGACAUCGCCUUAAAGCACAGCCAGGACUUCGCAGCUGGUUACCACCACCCUCUCGAUGCUGUAAGCACCUUUUUGAGCUCAGCUGGUUCUUCGCUGGAUCAAAACACCACGUCCCACCUCUCAGACCAGCUCAAGACCACCACUGAGAUGAGGGCUGCCAUUGCUCCAGUUCCUUCUUUCAAAGUCUGGCAACCCCAAGAGGACUCGUCUUCCACUAAACCUCUCCCAAGCCCUGCUUUUUUCUGUGUAGCUCCUCCUUCAGCCUUGCUCUCUUCAGGGCCUGCCCUGACCAGGACAUCUCCAGAAACUCAGUCCACUCCCAGGGGCAGCUGGCUUAUCCCCCUCUAACUUCACUGUCUCAACUGAGGUCCCUCCCUUCACUCUCCCAGAUGCUGGGGAGACCUCUCCAACUUAGGAGCCAUCACCUGAAGACCAGGACCUCUGCUGGGGUUUGCUAUGUGACAAAACAGCACAGGGAAGUGGUGACAGAGCCUGCCAUCAGCUAAGGCUCUGCCCUGCGCUUCCUUGAAGGGUGGAACACAUGCAAACUCUGCCCUAAGCUUUCCAGGGCUGGAUUCUGCAUCCUUUUUUUCAGGGCAAGAUAGUCCUCAGCGAGGUGUCUGUCCCUCUGUUAGGGCCCAUACGUACAAAACGGCAAGAUCCUGGCACACCACUUCCCCGUGUAAGUCAUGCUUCAAUUUCCUGCCUUCUGUUCUGAACGAGUUGAUGAAAAGGUUUACG